rnacentral:rRNA from 1 species
AUUGAACGCUGGCGGCAGGCCUAACACAUGCAAGUCGAACGGAAACAGGAAGCGGCUUGCUCCUUCGCUGACGAGUGGCAGACGGGUGUGUCAUGUCUAGGAAGCUGCCUUAUGGAGGGGGAUAACUACUGAAAACGGUAGCUAAUACCGCAUAAUGUCGCAAGCCCAAAGAGGAGGACUUUCGGGCCUCUUGCCAUCGGAUUUGCCCAGGUGGGAUUAGCUUGUUGGUGGGGUAACGGCUCACCAAGGCGACGAUCCCUAGCUGGUCUGAGAGGAUGACCAGCCACACUGGGACUGAGACACGGUCCAGACUCCUACGGGAGGCAGCAGUGGGGAAUAUUGCACAAUGGGCGCAAGCCUGAUGCAGCCAUGCCGCGUGUAUGAAGAAGGCCUUCGGGUUGUAAAGUACUUUCAGCGGGGAGGAAGGGAGUAAAGUUAAUACCUUUGCUCAUUGACGUUACCCGCAGAAGAAGCACCGGCUAACUCCGUG